AUUGAUCAAAAUUGAAAUUAAAAAUACUUUAUUCAAUUAAAUUAAAAAAAUGAUUUUAUUGAAUAAAGAAAACAGAAAAUUCAUUAAAAAAGAGAGUAUGGAGAGAAUAAAAAAGAACAAAAAACUUUUUUAAUGAAUAAAAUAUUAUUUUUUAAUUUCAAUUUUGACCAAUUUGGUCAAUUGGUAAAAUUGCAAUCAAUUUGGUCAAUUUGGCCUAAAUUGCCAAAAUUAAAAAGUACGGAUUAAAUUUCAAAUUCACAUAAAACUUCGGAUUUUUAGUGUAGUUAGGCCUAUUUAAAACCAUGCUGAGGUUCCACAUCACAGGUUGACAAAUGUAAUUGGUAGACGGUUAAACUGUAUUAUCAUAUUCAUCUUAUAAUUGAGAUAUAGUAAUCGGACUAUAUGUUUGCUUAAGCCUAUGAAUUUUUUGAGUCAUUUAAUUUGGUUUUCUGUAAAGACUGCUAUUUUUUUUUUUGCCUUGCUGCAGUUGGUAAACACUGGGAAGGAAA
rnacentral:misc_RNA from 1 species